rnacentral:lncRNA from 1 species
ACAGCCUGUGGGCUACGGGAACGCGAUCCGACUCGGCGGCCCUCCCUGCCUGGAUGGCCGGUCCCCGAGGCUGAGGAAGUCCAUUCCUCUUUCGGAAAUGGUCCCCAGGAAGCUUCUCCGUGUCCCCCUAUGGCCGGGUACUGAGCGGGGCCCGGGUGGUCUGCGGCCGUGGCCCCCGCCCCUCAGCGCAGGCGACCCUCCUGGCCCUGGCGGGCACAGCGCCUCUCCCGUGACCUGGGCCGGCCCGCAGGAUGAGCCCCCGGAUCACGAUCGCUGGCAUUUUAUUUACCUUCUUCCAUUACAACCCCAGGCGAGUCUCCCGGGCCCCGAGAGGAGGGGGUGACUGGUCAGGGUCAUCGGUAGCGGCGGCAGGGGCCUGCAUAGGGCUGCCUCGGGGCGACUAGCAGAAUGGCCGCCAGCCUCGGCUGCCCCAGCCCCCAGCGCAUGGAAUGUGCCCCGGGCCCCAGGAGCUCCAGGAACCGCGCUUGUGAGACGGAGCUUCGGCUGCUUGGAGCUAGUGAGCCACCGGCCACGGCAGGGAUUUGAGCAGAACUUGGGGGCAGAGGGAUGAGAUGGUGCAUCCCUUGAGGUCACUUCAGGAGAUGACACUCCUGUGGCUAAGUGUAGCUUCCCAGGUCAUGGCUCCCAGGUCAGGCCUGGUCAAUGGAGAAUUAAGUGGGCGUUGGGUGGUGGAUGGAUGUGAUUUGGCAGAGGGGACAAAUGUGACAACAGUGUAAUAAGGGCCAUGUUGGGGAGGGUCAGGGGUCAGGGUCCGGCCCAACCUGAGCAGAAGGGAGGCUGCUCUCAGGGAUAUUUGUCAGGUAGGAAUGGGUGGAGUGGAACUACAGGGCCACCAUGUUUCCCAUGGGUCACCCAUGGUGGCCUUGUCAUGUUUAUCCGUGAUCCUCAGUGUUCUCUGUGGUCCUCCCGUCACCCCUUUCAGACUGUCCUUUCAGUUCUCCACUGUCCCUGCAUCACCUCUGCCCCUGUCCCGUUUGUCUGUGUUCAGUCCAUGUUCCCAGGUCUUGAGGUGGCCCCUGGUUCUAUGCCCCUUACCUAAGACCCUGUGCAGGGAAUCUGUGAAAACACAGAGGAAAUAAAAAGUGAGGAAAAUAGUACUCUUGC